GUGAGGAAUAUUGGUCAAUGGACGAGAGUCUGAACCAGCCAAGUCGCGUGAAGGAAGACGGUUCUAUGAAUUGUAAACUUCUUUUGUGCAGGAAUAAAGUGGGUUACGUGUAACCUUUUGUAUGUACUGUACGAAUAAGGAUCGGCUAACUCCGUGCCAGCAGCCGCGGUAAUACGGAGGAUCCGAGCGUUAUCCGGAUUUAUUGGGUUUAAAGGGUGCGUAGGUGGAUUGAUAAGUCAGCGGUGAAAGUUUGCAGCUUAACUGUAAAAUUGCCGUUGAAACUGUCGGUCUUGAGUGCAAAUGAGGUAGGCGGAAUGUGUUGUGUAGCGGUGAAAUGCUUAGAUAUAACACAGAACUCCGAUUGCGAAGGCAGCUUACUGUGAUGCAACUGACACUGAUGCACGAAAGCGUGGGUAUCAAACAGGAUUAGAUACCCCUGUAGUCC
rnacentral:rRNA from 1 species